AUGGGUCACGCACUUUACCCUUGCACCACCGUUGUGUAAAUCUCCAUAAUAUUUUAAGAUGACACUUUAUGUUAUAGUCAAACAAUUUGUUGUGGCAAUAAGCAAGAUUAACUGACUUGCCUUCCACUGAUUAACCGUGAUCCUUUAAGGCAAUUUUCAGUUUCAGAGAUUGUUCUUCUUCUACCUUUCCUUCACCUGGGCAGAGCCGGCUCUGGAUAUCCAUCACGGUGGAUUGUCGGUGGAUCUGCGUUGACCCAGUCAAGACAUCUCAGGCGAGUCUGCGGAGGGAGGUUAACCUGACACAGAAAUUGCUAUCUGCCAAGAUGAAUGGAGCUCACCAGAGAGCAGAUGAGGAGAGCAGUGACCUGACAUCGUUUCUGACAGAUUCUGUGCAUCCCAGCAACAUCUUUCUCUACUCCUCGGUGCCAGCUGCCUCCUUCUGCUGUUCUGGUCCUGCCAGACAGUCAUGGAGCUGCAGUCAGCACACAAAUGUCAGAGGGUAUCUGCAGCCAGUCAUCACUAAACAUGGAGAUUUACAGCUUGCUAUGCAGCUGAAACACACGCAGCCAUAAACUCAAGAGAGAGCAGACGACUGCCGUCCCCACAGCACAACCGGUGAACACCGAAGGAGAAGAAAGAAAAUCAUUCCGCGGUGACCUUUGUGCAUCGCUGCUUGUUCAAAACAUAUCCCAUCAUCCUCCCUCUGACACAAAUUUCUGCCACUGCUUUUCCCUUUCAUCUUCAGACGCAGCUUUUACUUCCGUCUCCGUGAGGGAUGGAAAAAAGAAAAAAAAAAGAACUUAUUGGCGGCGACACAGUCCCUCAAUUGUCAGUGUGAUCGAUGUGUGCAGCCUGGAUGUAGGCCACUGCAUUAGUCGUGGAGGCUCUUAGCCGCUCACCGUGGAUACACAUCACUGCUCCCAUCUUGUUGCCUCUGCGGUGUAAUUGUUUUGUUAUUGCAGCUCAGACCGAGUCUAUUUAAAUGUUCGCAUUGCGCAGACAGCUUAAUAUGCAUGACCUGGUAGGUUUGUUUAGUGUCACUGCGACUAGUAGGGACACUGUGGACCAUAAACAACAUGACCCAACUUAUUAAAGUGGUUUAUUAGCUUCUAACGUAUGCAUGUCUGCUUUAUGGAACCCAUCUCCUUUAAACUUCCAAUAACUCAAUAAGGCUCUCAGACCCAAAAGCAUAAGCAAACUAAAGGCACAUCUUGAUUGAAGGAAACCUUUUAAAGGUAGCAGGACAUAUUUUUAGGAAUCUUUUAACUCCCUCUACUUCCGCUGUAACGGCUAGAAGAAAUUUUUUUUUGCAAAAACAAACAAAAAAAAAAGAACCCAUGUAGGGAGGAAGCACUUUUUCAUUUACCUUAAACUAUAAGGUGGAUAUUUCACAAGUCAGACUGAAAGCAUUUUGACUUCACUGAUUUAAAAAAAAAAAAAGUAAUUUUAUCCAUUGAAACGCGUCUGCAGCUUGUAUCUUCUGUGAUUUUUUGGCUGUGAUACAGUUCACAUCAAUGAAGUCUGUUUUAAGCCAUAAGUGGUAAUUUUAGUUUUGAAGAAAU